CGGUGUGGUAGGGAUCGUCAUCAAGCGAGGGAUGGGAGGAGAAGAAAAAGGAGGGCGAUAUUUAAAAAGCUGCGUGACCCAGUCGCCUGGCAGUACUGCUGGGAUGUGGUGCACGAGGCUUGGGACCCAGAAACUGCCUUAACCGGAUAAAGUUAUAAAGCGGUUGGGAGGAAAGGUAUUGACAACGUAACUGGCUUCUUCCUCUCCUCUGUGCUAUGAUCUUCCGCCUCAGGCGUUUGACGCCAGGUUACUUCCGCCUGCUACAGAUGCAGUUGGCCAGUGGGCCUGAAUCAGAACCUCAAGAGCGGCUGAUGAAUCACCUGGCAUUGCUUUUAGCCAUUAUGGGAUUAAGCCUAUCCUUCUACAGUGCCCGGCAAAUGAGUGAAGAGACUAAACCACAUCCAGAAAAGUGACACUCAUCUGCUGGACAGGAAGGACCCAGAAUAAAGAUUACAGCUAAGAAGACAGAAGCAGAGCAAAGUCAGAAACUUGGGUGUCUUAUCCUGCAGUACCAGCAAUAUGUACACUUAGCAUGCCUUGUCUGGGAUGUGUGUGUUAGAGAAUCAUCAUCACCAUCCUUUCUAGUGCAAUGGAAGUCUUGUUACUGGCACCCUUUGUGGUAGUACUAAACUCCAUUUUCCAAGAUCCUAAAAGAAAAAGAGGAUACACCCAGUAUUUUCCCAACUCCUCCCUGCCUGGCUGAAUCUCAUCUGAAGUCCUGAGCGGGUUGUAAUGGAGGAAGGAAAUGUGGAGUCCGCUCCAUUGUUGCCUUAGUGUCCAAAGUUAAGUAUUGCCUUGGCUUCUUCUGUGCCAAGCUGUCUGGGGGUGAUAGCAUGAGAUACCGCACUGGUGUGGCACCAACCUUAGUGACGCCACAGAUUUUAACUGACAUGGCCAACGUCCGAUGGAAACAUGGGAUUGUCAGAUUAAGGAAAAGGCAUUUAGAUUUCUCAGCCAGAGUUCUAGUGCCUCCCCAAACAACAAACCCUAGGAAUCUACAGGUUGGGAUCAUGGCAGUUAAGGUGGACUCAUAAUGCUGUAACUGUAAUGUGAAAAGGCUCUGGGACACUCAAAUGGGUGCCAGGCAAGUCUAAGGUUGGCUGCACCAUUUCUACUUUUCUGGUUCAUUUCAGAGGGCAACCUAUGAUACUUCGGAUGUUGUUAGAAUAUACUUCUCAUCUGCUCUAGCCAGCAUAACCAGUGGCAAAGGAUGAUGGGAAGUGGUGUGUAACAACAUUUGGAGGACCACAAGGUGCCCACAGGUUUUAAGUGGGCAGAACAAUGAAGCGCAAGGUAGACAAGAUACAUACGGCAAAUAAAACCUGAGUCCAAUGUCACAGAGGUUUAAAAUGUGGCCAGGAUGAAGCCGAUCGCUUCACAUCAUUCCCCAGAAAAGGACAGUUCCACAGAGCCAUGCCCACACCAGCCAGGAGUGCUUUCCUCAAUGCUCUCUGAUUCAUCAAGAAUAGAGAGGGCUGUGAAGAAAGAGAACGAAGUGCAAUUGAAAGGCUUUUCUGCAACUGAAUUGUAUUGCAGGGAGCUGAACCGGUCCAUGUGCUGUCAGUUUCCUCCCGCUUGGUUUGGCCAGAAGGGAUGCAUCAUUGGAAACUAGAAGGCACUGCAGAGUGCAGACUGCCUGUUACAUAACCAAACAUGUGGCCAGACAGCUGUGACCUAAAUCAUGCCUUUAAACUAGUGAUUAGGAGAAGGGGAUUAUUUUAUUUUUUUAAAAGAAGCGUCUAGACUUCUAUUUGACAAAUAUGCCAGGGAAAGAGGGCGAGGGCAAGGGCAAGACAGGGGGAUGUUCCUCCACUUACAAAGAGCACAGCUUGGAAGCAUUACUUUUUGCCCAUGUACCACCUGCCCACAUACCUAUCUGGAUUAUACAUAACGCUAGGUCUCAAGGAAUGUAUUAGUGGCUACCGUUCAUCCCGCUCACCCCAGCAGAGGUGAGAUGAAAACUGUUGCAUUUACAAUAAAUGUAUUUUGUAGUA